CCUACGGGUGGCAGCAGUGAGGAAUAUUGGUCAAUGGACGAGAGUCUGAACCAGCCAAGUAGCGUGAAGGAUGACUGCCCUAUGGGUUGUAAACUUCUUUUAUAUGGGAAUAAAAUGUUCCACGUGUGGGAUUUUGUAUGUACCAUAUGAAUAAGGAUCGGCUAACUCCGUGCCAGCAGCCGCGGUAAUACGGAGGAUCCGAGCGUUAUCCGGAUUUAUUGGGUUUAAAGGGAGCGUAGGUGGAUUGUUAAGUCAGUUGUGAAAGUUUGCGGCUCAACCGUAAAAUUGCAGUUGAAACUGGCAGUCUUGAGUACAGUAGAGGUGGGCGGAAUUCGUGGUGUAGCGGUGAAAUGCUUAGAUAUCACGAAGAACUCCGAUUGCGAAGGCAGUUCACUGUAGUGCAACUGACACUGAGGCUCGAAAGUGCGGGUAUCAAACAGGAUUAGAUACCCUUGUAGUC
rnacentral:rRNA from 1 species